UACUUGGUGGCGACCGGCGCACGGGUGAGUAACGCGUAUGCAACCUACCUAUCAGAGGGGAAUAACCGGCGAAAGUCGGACUAAUACCGCAUAAAACAGGGGCACCGCAUGGUGAUAUUUGUUAAAGAAAUUCGCUGAUAGAUGGGCAUGCGUUCCAUUAGGUAGUUGGUGAGGUAACGGCUCACCAAGCCGACGAUGGAUAGGGAACUGAGAGGUUGGUCCCCCACACUGGUACUGAGACACGGACCAGACUCCUACGGGAGGCAGCAGUGAGGAAUAUUGGUCAAUGGGCGGGAGCCUGAACCAGCCAAGUCGCGUGAAGGAAGAAGGAUCUAUGGUUCGUAAACUUCUUUUGCAGGGGAAUAAAGUGCAGGACGUGUCCUGUUUUGUAUGUACCCUGAGAAUAAGGAUCGGCUAACUCCGUGCCAGCAGCCGC
rnacentral:rRNA from 1 species